AUUGAACGCUGGCGGCAUGCUUUACACAUGCAAGUCGAACGGUAACAGGGUGCUUGCACCGCUGACGAGUGGCGAACGGGUGAGUAAUGCGUCGGAACGUGCCGAGUAGUGGGGGAUAACGCAGCGAAAGUUGUGCUAAUACAGCAUACGUACUGAGGUAGAAAGUGGGGGACCUUCGGGCCUCACGCUAUUCGAGCGGCCGACGUCUGAUUAGCUAGUAGGUGAGGUAAAGGCUCACCUAGGAGACGAUCAGUAGCGGGUCUGAGAGGAUGAUCCGCCACACUGGGACUGAGAAACGGCCCAGACUCCUACGGGAGGCAGCAGUGGGGAAUUUUGGACAAUGGGCGAAAGCCUGAUCCAGCCAUGCCGCGUGUCUGAAGAAGGCCUUCGGGUUGUAAAGGACUUUUGUCAGGGAGGAAAUCCCUAGUGCUAAUAACACUGGGGGAUGACAGUACCUGAAGAAUAAGCACCGGCUAACUACGUGCCAGCCGCCGCCGUAA
rnacentral:rRNA from 1 species